ACAUGAGUAGAAUCGUCUACCCUGCAUUCUUAUAUUUCCCAACUACUUCCUUCUUCUCUUUACCAGGCUACAAGGAACACAGGCAAAAGUAUUGCCAAUAAGAACAUUGCUAACCCUACUGCCACAUUGCUAGCAAGUUGCAUGAUGCUAGACCACCUCAAGCUCCAUUCCUAUGCCACCUCCAUCCGAAAAGCUGUCUUAGCAUCCAUGGACAAUGAAAAUAUGCAUACCCCAGACAUUGGAGGCCAGGGCACCACAUCCCAAGCCAUCCAGGACAUCAUUCGUCACAUCCGCAUCAUUAAUGGACGGGCUGUGGAGGCCUAGCUAUCCCUGCAGUUUGCUCAGUUUGUCUGUAGGACUCCCUUCUCAUUUUAGCACUCCAGCUAGCUUUGGGGACAGGCUCCAGAAUAAAGCCACUUGUGUUCCAG
rnacentral:lncRNA from 1 species